rnacentral:rRNA from 1 species
GACGAACGCUGGCGGCGUGCUUAACACAUGCAAGUCGAACGCUGAAGCUCAGCUUUUGUUGGGUGGAUGAGUGGCGAACGGGUGAGUAACACGUGAGUAACCUGCCUCCUUCUUUGGGAUAACGCCCGGAAACGGGUGCUAAUACUGGAUAUUCACUGGUCUUCGCAUGGGGGUUGGUGGAAAGGGUUUUUCUGGUGGGGGAUGGGCUCGCGGCCUAUCAGCUUGUUGGUGGGGUGAUGGCCUACCAAGGCUUUGACGGGUAGCCGGCCUGAGAGGGUGACCGGUCACAUUGGGACUGAGAUACGGCCCAGACUCCUACGGGAGGCAGCAGUGGGGAAUAUUGCACAAGGGGCGCAAGCCUGAUGCAGCGACGCCGCGGGAGGGAUGGAGGCCUUCGGGUUGUGAACCUCUUUCGCUCAUGGUCAAGCCGCAACAAUGGUUGUGGUGAGGGUAGUGGGUAAAGAAGCGCCGGCUAACUACGUG